AUUGAACGCUGGCGGCAGGCCUAACACAUGCAAGUCGAGCGGAACGGCGGACGGGUGAGUAAUGACUAGGAAUCUACCUGGUAGUGGGGGAUAAGGUCCGGACACGGGCGCUAAUACCGCAUAAUCUCAGCUGAUACAAGUUCGGAUGAGCUAGUUGGUGGGGUAAAGGCCUACCCAGGUGACGAUCCGUAACUGGUCUGAGAGGAUGAUCAGUAACACUGGAACUGAGACACGGUCCAGACUCCUACGGGAGGCAGCAGUGGGGAAUAUUGGACAAUGGGCGAAAGCCGGAUGCAGCCAUGCCGCGUGUAUGAAGAAGGCCUUCGGGUUGUAAAGUACUUUCAGCGGGGAGGCGUUACCCGCAGAAGAAGCACCGGCUAACUCCGUGCCAGCCGCCGCGGUAAUUC
rnacentral:rRNA from 1 species